UAACACAAGUUGAGUAGGGAAAGUUUUUCGGUGUAGGAUGAGACUAUAUAGUAUCAGCUAGUUGGUGAGGUAAUGGCUCACCAAGGCUAUGACGCUUAACUGGUCUGAGAGGAUGAUCAGUCACACUGGAACUGAGACACGGUCCAGACUCAUACGGGAGGCAGCAGUAGGGAAUAUUGCGCAAUGGGGGAAACCCUGACGCAGCAACGCCGCGUGGAGGAUGACACUUUUCGGAGCGUAAACUCCUUUUCUUAGGGAAGAAUUCUGACGGUACCUAAGGAAUAAGCACCGGCUAACUCCGUGCCAGCAGCCGCGGUAAUACGGAGGGUGCAAGCGUUACUCGGAAUCACUGGGCGUAAAGGGCGCGUAGGCGGAUUAUCAAGUCUCUUGUGAAAUC
rnacentral:rRNA from 1 species